GUGGAUGUAGCUCAGCUUGGUAGAGCACUUGACUGUGGCUCAAGACGUCGCGGGUUCAAAUCCCGUCAUCCACCCCA
rnacentral:tRNA from 1 species